AAUUCGCCCUUAGAGUUUGAUCCUGGCUCAGGACGAACGCUGGCGGCGUGCCUAACACAUGCAAGUCGAACGGAGUCAGCCCUUCGGGACUGACUUAGUGGCGAACGGGUGAGUAACGCGUGAGUAACCUGCCUUUCAGUGGGGGACAACAGUUGGAAACGACUGCUAAUACCGCAUAAUGUAUUUCUUGGGCAUCCUUGAAAUACCAAAGCUUAAUGUGCUGAAAGAUGGACUCGCGUCUGAUUAGCUAGUUGGCGGGGUAACGGCCCACCAAGGCGACGAUCAGUAGCCGGACUGAGAGGUUGAACGGCCACAUUGGGACUGAGAUACGGCCCAGACUCCUACGGGAGGCAGCAGUGGGGAAUAUUGGGCAAUGGGCGCAAGCCUGACCCAGCAACGCCGCGUGAAGGAAGAAGGCUUUCGGGUUGUAAACUUCUUUUACCAGGGACGAAGGACGUGACGGUACCUGGAGAAAAAGCCACGGCUAACUACGUGCCAGCAGCCGCGGUAAUACGCAGGUGGCAAGCGUUGUCCGGAUUUACUGGGUGUAAAGGGCGUGUAGGCGGAGCUGCAAGUCAGAUGUGAAAUCCCGGGGCUCAACCCCGGAACUGCAUUUGAAACUGUAGCCCUUGAGUAUCGGAGAGGCAAGCGGAAUUCCUAGUGUAGCGGUGAAAUGCGUAGAUAUUAGGAGGAACACCAGUGGCGAAGGCGACUUACUGGGCCGUAACUGACGCUGAGGCGCGAAAGCGUGCGGAGCGAACAGGAUUAGAUACCCUGGUAGUCCACGCCGUAGACGAUGAAUACUAGAUGUUGGGGACUAACGGUCUCAGUGUCGCAGGCAAACGCAAUAAGUUAUCCACCCUGGGGAGUACGAUCCGCAGGUUUGAAACUCAAAAGAGAUUGACGGGGGCCCCGCACCAGGGGAGGAGCCUGUGGUUUAAUUCGAUGGAUCGGCGAGGAACCUUACCUAGACUCAAAUGUUGAGCGACCGACCCAGAAAUGGGUCUUUCUUUCGGGACGCUAAGCAAGGUGCUGCAUGGUUGUCGUCAGCUCGUGCCGUGAGGUGUCAGGUUAAGUCCUAUAACGAGCGCAACCCCUACGUCCAGUUGCCAGCGGGUAGAGCCGGGGACUCUGGACGGACUGCCGGCGCAAGCCGAGAGGAAGGCGGGGAUGACGUCAAAUCAGCACGGCCCUUACGUCUGGGGCGACACACGUGCUACAAUGGCCGGUACAGAGGGCAGCCACGCCGCGAGGCGGAGCGAAUCUCGAAA
rnacentral:rRNA from 1 species